ACAGUGAUGGCCGAGUGGUUAAGGUGUUGGACUUGAACUCCAGUGGGGUCUCCCCGGGCAGGUCCGAAACCUGUUCGCUGCG